CCCAUUGUCUCUCUUCCCUCUUCUUCCCUCUUAUCUCUUUCCAUCCGAGCACCUCCAAAGAAAAACCAUUUUUUUCUUCAUCUUCCCAGAUCUGCUUGCUAUCUUAGAAAAACCAACAGAUUUUCAUGAAACAAAACAAAUCACUACCAUGAACCAGGAAGAAAGACCAUUAUCUUCUUCAUCUCUCCAGAUCUAUUCAUAUCAUUAUUUUCGAUCUAAAACCAUGUUCUUCAAUUUAAAGAGUUGUCAAUUAUAAGACCAAUUAUUAGUCUCAAUUGGAUUUUUCGAACAUCUUCAGGUGUUUUUAGAGAAAUAAUCCCUUGCGGCGAAAUUGGUUAAAAAUGCGGCGUUUAGAGCUCCGUUGAUAGCGUACCGGAAGUACCCUGGAAAUGUCCUGGAGGAACCCCGAAAAAGUGCGGAAAAUAUCCCGGAAGAAUUGCUAAAGGCACCCCUUGAUUGGAUAAGGGCACCCCAUGGUUAUUUACACCCCAAAAAUGAUGUUUCCACCCAAAUUGCUAAGGGGACACCACUGUUUGCUAAGGGGGACACCACCUUCACGAUUUAAAAGAAAAAUUGGCGGGAACUUCUCAAACACGUCUGCAUGAAUUUCAACCCGAUUGUUGGGCGUGUUUUUGGAAGAUUCAAUUGCUGGAAAUGAUUGGGAUGGACCUAAUAUGUCUUAACAGGCCUGGUGCAGCUAUUUUAAUCGAGCAAAUUAGGCCAAGGAAUCCGUGGGAGAUAAAACAGAGCAAAACAGGGAAGAAUAUUUUGAGAGUGAUUCUCGGGAUUUUUAAGCUAUCUUUGGAAGAUUGGCAUGUUCCUGGACGAGCUUUACUCAAUAUUUUAGGAGAUUUGGAGCGUGCAUGAGCAACAAAAUACACGGGAGAAUCAACAGAAGACGCGUGAAAGGUGAACAGGGAAAGAAAAUAUUCUCGUGAAUAAAAACCAUUAAUGGGUAUUUCUUGGAGUUAUUGUGGGGAUUACAGGGGUUGGUGAUGUAUAAAUAGGAUACUAAGAAGUAUGUUAAAGGGAUGAAGAGUUUGGGGUCGAUCCAGAGCUAGGAGGAGCGAGAAAAUGGAACCAGCAGCAAUGUUCACCUGCUGCUGCUGCCAUUAAAAAGC